AGAACUCAGAUGCUCUCGGGUUUGGCCUUGUACCGGUACAGCAAUCCGUGUACCGGUACAAGGGAGUUGGUGGAGGGCUAAAUCAGUAAAAUUCCACCUCGUUCAUGUCACCCUCUUUCCCUCUCUCUAUUUAUCUGUGGAUUGGGCUGAGAGAGAGAGAGUUUUCACCAUCUCCUCUCCCUCUCUCUCUCUCUAGGCCGAUCGUGAGCACGGUUGAGGACUUCGUCGCCGACGUCGCGCCGCGAGCCGUUCGAGCGCACGUGUUGCCGGGGCGCUGCGAGGAGGCCGGGCGAGGGUGCGUCUUCGCCGUUCCUGUCGCCGCACCGCUGUUCAUCGCUGUUGAGAUUUCCUGCGUCGACUGUUAGUAUUUCGGCUCGUUCUCCGCGUAGGAGCGUCGGAUCGCGACGAAACUUGGUUCAUUGGAUUCUAGACUGCGAGAGGAUUCCACAGAGCCCUCAUUUGCAAUUUUUGGACAAGCUUGGCGUUGGCUUGGCGACCGGACUUGGAGAUCCCCGAUUGAUCCAGCAGAGUUCCUUCUAGGCCGAGGCUUCGUUUGCUGCCAGGAGAUAGCACUUUAGAGCCGCAGGUACAGGCUGCUGCUUCCUCUGCUGAGCAGGAUCGUGGCAAGGGCGUCGCGAGCUAGAGCCCUACCAGACUGAUCGAGUUAGAGGCGUCCUCCCCUUACAGCAGGUAGUGAUUUUUUUCUUUUGGAGCUUUUGUACAUAGCAGUUGAACUCGCCAGUGCGAGUGGUUUUGUACUUGGGAUUUGUGACUAUGUAUAAAAAGCUCGUUUACUUUAGUUA